ensembl:lncRNA
GCUAAUAUAUAUUUUUUCUGCAUUAUUAUUAUGUGUUGUCUACAAUGAGUAGGAAGUGUCCUGUUACAAAUUCCUGCAUUUAGCAGUCAGAGCUGUAUGUUUUGGACCAAGGUCAAGGAUUUCAAGGACCUGGAAGUCAACCUUCCUUCAAGCCAGUUGGUCCCAGUGUGCUUGCAGUCCUGCAUUCUGCUCUUUCACAGGACUGUAAGAAUCAUACAACAACCCAGGUUGGAAGAAAUUCUGAAAUAUUGUAAGGUCAGAGUUUGGUGUAGUACCCACGAGGAGGCGAUGGCAUUCAUGCUACAGUUGAAAAAACACAUUCAAGAGAUGAAAAGCAGUAAUUUGCAGAGUUUCCCAAAUAAUGUAGGAACAAGGGACAUGAUUCUGUAGCCACUGCUUGCCACCACGAUUUAGAAUGUGGACACGUCAUCCAUAAAUCACUGAGGAGUGUCCUUCAGGUAUUUUACAGUGCUGCCAAGUAGCUCUGCUCAUUGUGAGGCUCAAGCCUGAAACUUCAAGUAUGUAUAUAAUGACAUGCAGAGAUCACAGUUAUCUCUAGCAUCUGUGGACUUCAGAUCCUGUGUCAAUUUGGGAAGCAAAGUUAUCUGGAAUAUAUCAUUCUACCAUGAAAAUACAAUGCACUAAGGUAAUCUCCAAUAUGAUUAGUGAAAUGUCGUAGUGCAUGUCAUAGUUUAAUUAUACUUGCAGACAUUUAAGAAUUACCUUAAAAGUACAUCAAUGAUUUUAUAGUUUUCUACUGUUUUUCUCCUUUCCCUCUUUCUUACAUAUAUCAUAGCAUGAUUUAUAAGAAUUAGUAGCGAUAUGUAGUAACAUGCCAUUCAGAAAGGAAAAGGAAGGUUCAUCUUGUUAAUAUUCCAUAUUUCAUUUGGCUGGCUCAGUGAACCUUUACCUGUGUAUUCAUGAGACUGUGCCUCUAGAUGAAUGCGGAGGUGGAAUUACCAACAAAUACAGUGCUGAAUAUUAAAAAAUGAACUGUAAAAGGUUUCAAAUUUUUCAUUUCUGUGACAGGAAUUAUAACUAGAACAGACAAGAAUUAUAACUGGAAUGAAAAAUGCCAACAGGUAAAUUAAUUGUAAUGAAACUGACUGUAGCAGUGGAAAAGAAAAAUUGGAAUCUUGAUCAGUAUUUAAAACUUCAAGGUCAUUACAUUUUGGUUGCUUUCAGAUGUUCAGCAUAGAGAAUAUAAUGAUUAUACCAAAAUGGCAUGUACAUUAGUUAAUUUUAUACAAUUUUUCUACUAAGGCUGCAAUUCUUGUGUUUAGAGUUGUUCUUUUAAGAUAAUUUUUCUAUUUCUUUCCUAUUCAAUACUGUUGUGCAAAUAGUUUACACCGAACAAUAAGAACUGAUUUUCAUUCUUACUUGCUCUGUAUUCAUUUGAAUGACAAAAAUCAUAACUAAAGGAAAAACUCGUUCAUAUGUAAUCUAUUCUAAUAUCACAAAUCAUUAAAAAAAGGAUAAAAUAAGCCAACAAUUUGCUUUUGACAUGCCUAAAUUACUCAUAAGAGUCACUACCUUAAUUUCUCAGUCAAAUUAUUAUUUCAUGCAGUGGUUUAAAAAUAAUUCUUGUGAAAAACUAUUGCAUCAAGCUUACAGAAUGGUAUCUAAAUAUUCAUUUCAGAGAAAUUUUAAAGCUGCAAAUUUUUAGGAUUUCAAAGACAUAAAAUGUCAUGAUCUGGCUGCACAGUGUUUGUAAGUACAUUUGUAAACACUAAUUUUACAAGUUGAAGUUUUCUGCAACAUUUUUGUAUCAAAAUACUUGGAGUAAAAUUUUGUUAAAUAUACAGGACUUAACACACAGCAAUGUAUUACUUGUAGGAGUUAUUUUGGUAUAUAGGCCAAGGUCCUGCACUUUGACCACAAUAACCCCAUGCAGCGCUAUAGGCUUGGGGCUGAGUGGCUGGAUGACUGUGAA